GUAUCCUGGCUCAGGAUGAACGCUAGCUACAGGCUUAACACAUGCAAGUCGAGGGGGCGAGCAUGGUCUUAGCUUGCUAUGGCCGAUGGCGACCGGCGCACGGGUGAGUAACACGUAUCCAACCUGCCGUCUACUCUUGGACAGCCUUCUGAAAGGAAGAUUAAUACAAGAUGGCAUCAUGAGUUCACAUGUUCACAUGAUUAAAGGUAUUCCGGUAGACGAUGGGGA
rnacentral:rRNA from 1 species